rnacentral:rRNA from 1 species
CCGUUUAGGGGUAAACCUGAGAAACCCGAAAGGUCGAAGGGAGAAAUUCAUUCGCGUCUCGCCGUUCGCGUGAGACGGUCGUGUGACGGAAUUCGUUCGCGUUUUCCGCACCUUCCGUUUUUCGAUCUUAUGGCGAACGCGUGCACUUUUCUCCUGGUAGGACGUCGCGAUCCGUUGGGUGUCGGUCUACGGCUCACGGUGGAGCCCGGACGUACGGUUCGCGCCGUCACGUUCGGACCCGUGUGUCCCGGCUGACUCGCUCGACGGUAUACGAACGGUUUAAGGCCGCUCUUUGAGCGUUCGACUCGCAGCAAGCGCGCCCGAUGUGUCGGUGAUCGGACCUAGUGCCGGUUCUGACCUCUGGCGACUGUUGGCCGCGAAGUUCUCGAACAGACCUUCGACCGAUCUGCGACGCUAUAGCUUUGGGUACUUUCAGGACCCGUCUUGAAACACGGACCAAGGAGUCUAGCAUGUGCGCGAGUCAUUGGGAAUCAUUAAACCUAAAGGCGCAAUGAAAGUAAAGGUCCGCCUCGCGCGGACUGAGGGAGGACGAGCGGUUUACCCUUAAAAGUGGCCGCUCCGCACUCCCGGGGCGUCUCAUUCUCAUCGCGAGAAGAGGCGCACCAAGAGCGUACACGCUGGGACCCGAAAGAUGGUGAACUAUGCCUGGUCAGGACGAAGUCAGGGGAAACCCUGAUGGAGGUCCGUAGCGAUUCUGACCGUGCAAAUCGAUCGUCGGAACUGGUAUAGGGGCGAAAGACUAAUCGAACCAUCUA